GCAAGUUUCCAACUGGGCUAGCAGUUUUCCCACAGCCUUGCACAUUUUAACAACACCAUUUGCUCCACUCCAAUCCUGGGAUUAACGAAUCAAAAGAGAUGUCAAUAAAAGAGAUGCAGCCAAAGGGCUAAUUAUAUUAAUUAUGGAGACAUAGCUUUUGAAAAGGGGAUGAAGUAAUGGUGUUGCAUAAUUUUCAGUCACUGUGGAAACCAGCCACCUUAAUCAUAGGUUCAGGGUGCAAAUACCGCUUCUUUCAAUAGAGCUGAUUGUUGCGCAAGGGCUACAAGAAUCACACUGAAAGGCCUCAAAAGAAGUUUGAUUUCAGCAUGUUUUCGUGAACUGCGUUGGUACAUACUGUAUAUCAUAUUGGCAGACCAUAGAAACGGGUCAGUCUCUCACAGUAUUCAACCAGAAAGGAAAAUAACUGCAACUAAUUUAGCCCCAAGAGUCCAGGUGAAAUGGGGGUGUAAUUGCCCACUUUAAAUCAUCAUGUAGAUGGCAAAUAACAAAAGCACAAGAGCUGAGGAACUGAAGGAAGAUCGCCCCCUUCAGGCCUACCAGCGCCACGUCCAGUCACAACCUCUGGUCUCGUCGGUCCUAGUGCUGACCAAGCGCAAUGAUACAGACGUAUGCUGUCGCUGAUGUUGCUGGUUCUGAAAGCUGGUUAUAACAGCCCUGAGAGAACGCGCGACUUGGCAGGGAGUCUCCAUUCCUGUUUCUGGCCAGGGGUUCGAGGAGACUAGAAAAAUAUCAAGCUGUCGGCAUAUCUAAGGGGAACGGACGGACAUGGCCAAUAAAUAUAAGAGGAAGGAACAGCCCCUCCUGUGCAUAAUGAUUUAAAAAUAACCCUGCGGUGUUGCAGGCAGAGAGAAGAGCCUUGUGCUGCACUUGAUCCCGUGGAGUAGCCAUUCUGUAACUCACCGGGGGGAUUCCGUACUUCAUUUUAUAUUAAAUAUCAUCAAUGCUUCAACUCAACACGACCUCGCGUUUGUAAUCUG